GUGCGGUGGCCGGAAUCGUGCAUCGCCGCCUCCGAUGGGGCUCAGAUCACCGGCGAGCCGCCACUGCAAGCUACCUUGACCAACCCAGCUUUGGCGGAGAUCAGUUGCGGCGCAGGUGUAUGCCAUGACUAGCGAGAGCAAAGGAUUUGAGAAGUGAUCAAGCUCGAUCAGAUUAAAGGGGAUCAGCUCACUUCUGAUAUUUCAGAUGUUCCCUUCUGAUACAUUAGCGUAUUUCAGGAUCACAGGUACGUAAUCGUCAGCACAAAGUAACUACCUGACUAUCUAACUUUCUUUUUUCUUCAGGAUGAAGUCUGAAUUUUUGGGAUACGAUUACCUAACAAGUUACACAUGCUUGUAGUUUGCAGUAACAGGAAUACAGGAUGGUCUGACAACUAAUAUGUUGAAUUAAUUAUUGUCCUAUGGCUUCUCCAGAAGCAAUUAGGUUAAUUGUUUGUUUUUUAAUCUUCUGUGUCACAGUCUUCUGAAUGAUUUUCAGAGUAAGAUAUCAGGAUCUAAGGGUCAGAGUGUUUCUUUGGAACUCUAGAUGCAUUUUACAUCAUAGUAUUGUUAUUUCAAUCUCAGGAUUGAGUGCAAGCAAUCUGUUUGUACAAAAUACAGUCAUCUGAACUCUAGAAAGUUAGUUAAAUAUUAUGCUAACUCACGUUAUGCAAGUGAACUGUUCCAUUAGAAUGUACUCAGGUAUGGUACUGUAACAAUGAUGCUGAUGUUCAUACAGUUAAUAUAGGAUUGCGAUUUUUCUCAUUCAACAAUUCAUAGCCAUAACUAAAUCAUUUACUUGUUUUUGCAACUUAUUCAAAUUUUGAUGUUUGAUUGUUUUCUAGUGUACUACACUUCCCUAGAACGUGUGUCACUCGCACUCUCUGAGAUGGACAGCUACAUAUGAACAAACUACUAAUAAUUGAGAGUACUUAUCACUAGUAACUUUUUGAGAUGUACUCCAUCUUAUAAGCAAUCAACCAGUAGUUUGACAAUAUCAGGCUUUCAGCUUUCUUGUACCACAUAUUCUGUUCAAUUUAAUAUAUAUGCCGACACUCUUUUAACUUUACAUAUUUUGUGAAGAACAAUAAGCUAUAGCACCUCUAGAGGAUAAGACCUGCAUAUUGUACGCUCAUCUGAAGGAUAUGGAUUGUUUGAAUACGUUUCAUUUUGAUCAUUCUUCUAUUGUCUGCUUGUCUUCCUUGCUUCUGUCUUGACAAGAAAUCUGAUCUCCCGGGGCACGUCUCAGAUACAGUAAUACAGAACGGCUGAGAAAUCCCUAUGGUUACUCUUAUACAAACCAUGCCAUCUGACCCCUCAACAAUAGUUCAGGCAUGAGAUACAGAAACAGAAACUACUGUACAUUCUCAAAAACUUCAUAUUUAUGUUCCUAUGACUUGAUGUCCAUGCCAAAAAUCGUUGAUCCUGAACGAUCAAAUUAACAAAAAAAAGCAUUAGAUUAAGUCAGAAAACAACAGUAAGUUACUAACUACUGACUAAUCCUUAAUGUUGAUCUGUGCAGGAAUGUUACCUAAUGUUGGCAGUAAGACUGUCAGAGCUGCAAUGGCAACAAUUUUCAGGGGCAACCCAGUGGCCACCAGAUCCUUGAUGGUAAUGUAGCCGGUGCUGAAGCCGACAACGUUUGACGGCGAUCCGGUGGGCAACAAGUAUGACAACUGGGCCCCGAUUGCGCCGGAAACCAUGAGCAAGGCAGGGUGCACCUCAAUGGAUUUGGCAAGUUCAGCGAACAAUGGCAGCACCAGCGUCGUGGUUGAGUCGUCAGAAGU